rnacentral:misc_RNA from 1 species
AACGCACAUUGCGCCCGCUAGUAUUCUGGCGGGCAUGCCUGUUCGAGCGUCAUUUCAACCAUCAAGCCCCUGGGCUUGCGUUGGGGCCCUGCGGCUGCCGCAGGCCCUUAAAUGCAGUGGCGGGCUCGCCGUCGCACCGAGCGCAGUAGCAUACCUCUCGCUCCGGGCGUGGCGGCGGGCGCCGGCCGUGAAACCCUACUAAACUUCAAAGGUUGACCUCGGAUCAGGUAGGAAUACCCGCUGAACUUAA